UACGGAGGGUGCAAGCGUUAUCCGGAUUCACUGGGUUUAAAGGGUGUGUAGGCGGAUUUUUAAGUCAGUGGUGAAAUCUCCGGGCUCAACCCGGAAACUGCCAUUGAUACUAUUAGUCUUGAAUUCUGUUGAGGUGGACGGACUACAUCAUGUAGCGGUGAAAUGCUUAGAUAUGAUGUAGAACACCGAUUGCGAAGGCAGCUCACUAAGCAGACAUUGACGCUGAGGCACGAAAGCGUGGGGAUCAAACAGG
rnacentral:rRNA from 1 species